rnacentral:rRNA from 1 species
AGAGUUUGAUCCUGGCUCAGGAUGAACGCUAGCUACAGGCUUAACACAUGCAAGUCGAGGGGCAGCAUGAUCUUAGCUUGCUAGGAUUGAUGGCGACCGGCGCACGGGUGAGUAACACGUAUCCAACCUGCCGUCUACUUGGGGAUAGCCUUCUGAAAGGAAGAUUAAUACCCGAUGCGAUCUGUUGGCCGCAUGGCUGAUGGAUGAAAGAUUAAUUGGUAGACGAUGGGGAUGCGUUCCAUUAGGUUGUUGGCGGGGUAGCGGCCCACCAAGCCGACGAUGGAUAGGGGUUCUGAGAGGAAGGUCCCCCACAUUGGAACUGAGACACGGUCCAAACUCCUACGGGAGGCAGCAGUGAGGAAUAUUGGUCAAUGGACGAGAAUCUGAACCAGCCAAGUAGCGUGCAGGAUGACGGCCUUAUGGGUUGUAAACUGCUUUUAUACGGGAAUAAAUGACGACACGUGUGUUGUUUUGUAGGUACCGUAUGAAUAAGGACCGGCUAAUUCCGUGCCAGCAGCCGCGGUAAUACGGAAGGUCCGGGCGUUAUCCGGAUUUAUUGGGUUUAAAGGGAGCGUAGGCCGGCGCUUAAGCGUGCCGUGAAAUGUCCCGGCUCAACCGGGGCACUGCGGCGCGAACUGGGUGCCUUGAGUGCGCGGAACGUAUGCGGAAUUCGUGGUGUAGCGGUGAAAUGCUUAGAUAUCACGAAGAACUCCGAUUGCGAAGGCAGCAUACGGCAGCGUAACUGACGCUGAAGCUCGAAGGUGCGGGUAUCGAACAGGAUUAGAUACCCUGGUAGUCCGCACGGUAAACGAUGGAUGCCCGCUGUUGGCGAUAUACAGUCAGCGGCCAAGCGAAAGCGUUAAGCAUCCCACCUGGGGAGUACGCCGGCAACGGUGAAACUCAAAGGAAUUGACGGGGGCCCGCACAAGCGGAGGAACAUGUGGUUUAAUUCGAUGAUACGCGAGGAACCUUACCCGGGCUUGAACUGCGGGUGAACGAUUCAGAGAUGAUGAGGUCCUUCGGGACACCUGUGGAGGUGCUGCAUGGUUGUCGUCAGCUCGUGCCGUGAGGUGUCGGCUUAAGUGCCAUAACGAGCGCAACCCCUGUUCUCAGUUGCCAUCGGGUCAUGCCGGGCACUCUGUGAAGACUGCCUCCGUAAGGAGUGAGGAGGGUGGGGAUGACGUCAAAUCAGCACGGCCCUUACGUCCGGGGCUACACACGUGUUACAAUGGGUGAUACAGAGAGUCGGCGGCCGGCAACGUCCGUCUAAUCUAUAAAGUCAUCCUCAGUUCGGACUGGGGUCUGCAACCCGACCCCACGAAGCUGGAUUCGCUAGUAAUCGCGCAUCAGCCAUGGCGCGGUGAAUACGUUCCCGGGCCUUGCACUCACCGCCCGUCA